rnacentral:rRNA from 1 species
UAGGGAAUCUUCGGCAAUGGGGGGAACCCUGACCGAGCAACGCCGCGUGAGUGAAGAAGGUUUUCGGAUCGUAAAGCUCUGUUGUUAAGGAAGAACGAGUGUGAGAAUGGAAAGUUCAUACUGUGACGGUACUUAACCAGAAAGGGACGGCUAACUACGUGCCAGCAGCCGCGGUAAUACGUAGGUCCCGAGCGUUGUCCGGAUUUAUUGGGCGUAAAGCGAGCGCAGGCGGUCAGAUAAGUCUGAAGUUAAAGGCAGUGGCUCAACCAUUGUAGGCUUUGGAAACUGUUUAACUUGAGUGCAGAAGGGGAGAGUGGAAUUCCAUGUGUAGCGGUGAAAUGCGUAGAUAUAUGGAGGAACACCGGUGGCGAAAGCGGCUCUCUGGUCUGUAACUGACGCUGAGGCUCGAAAGCGUGGGGAGCGAACAGGAUUAGAUACCCUGGUAGUCCACGCCGUAACGAUGAGUGCUAGGUGUUAGGUCCUUUCCGGGACUUAGUGCCGCAGCUAACGCAUUAAGCACUCCGCCUGGGGAGUACGACCGCAAGGUUG